GGGUAACUUCUAAUUUAUCUCAUAUUUUUUUAGCAAAUAUGCAUGUAGAUAUUCUAUUAAACUCAUUUACAUCUAAAGCACAAUAUAAAAUAUUUAUAACUUUAGCAUUUAGUUGAGCUAAUCUUUUAUCAAAAUCAUCUCAAUUCCUUUUAGAUUUGAAAGAAGGCAUACCAUCAAGCAAAAUAGUAGAUGUGUGUGGAUCAUUUACUAUGAUAUUCUAUAUGUCA
rnacentral:lncRNA from 1 species